rnacentral:rRNA from 1 species
CGUGUAGGCGGUGCGGUAAGUUGGGCGUGAAACUCCCCGAGCUUAACUCGGGUGGGCCGUUCAAGAACUGCCGUGCUAGGGUGCGGGAGAGGGAAGUGGAAUUUCCGGUGUAGCGGUGAAAUGCGUAGAUAUCGGGAGGAACACCUGCGGCGAAGGCGGCUUCCUGGACCGUAACCGACGCUGAGGCGCGAAAGCUAGGGGAGCAAACAGGAUUAGAUACCCUGGUAGUCCUAGCCCUAAACGAUGAGCACUGGGUGUGGCCCCUCACGAGGCCGUGCCGAAGCUAACGCAUUAAGUGCUCCGCCUGGGGAGUACGGUCGCAAGGCUGAA